UGCCCUGCUGCCCUGCACCUCAGAGGGUUUUCUGGGGGUGGGGUGAGCUAGGGAAAGCCUGGACCUCAGUGAGGCUCGUGACUAGCCCUGGGUUUGCUCAGCCCCUCUGAUGCUCAGAUCUGGCCAGUGAUCUGGCUGAAGGGAUCGCUAGGACCAAUCACAGCCUUGAGCUGAACAAAUAUUGGCAGCACGUCAGCCAUAUGCCCCAACUGCACAGUCAGGGAAGAAGGGCUGCUGGUCUAGUUGGGGCCCCGGGUGAGUGCACAUGAGCCCAUAGAGUCAGGGACUAUGAUGACUGAUUGAAGGGAGUGGGGUGUGGGGUUCCAAGGUGGGAGGGAGCCCCUUGGUCGAAGAUCGGGGAGACUUCUUGGAUGAAGUGGCUUCAGGGAACAGAUUUUUUUUUUUUUCCAACACUCACGGCUCGGGAACUUCCAUGUGCUGUGGGCUCAGCCAAAAAAAAGGACGAAAGGCAAAGAGAAAAUAAGACGGGGUCAUGUUCUUGGCAUAGUAAAUGCAAGUGUGUGUGAUGAAGUGUGAUGCAUGCACACACGCCCAUACAUGUGCACACCUGUGUACAUAGGUGUGUGUACGUGUACGCGCGUGUGCCUGUAGGUGCAUUUGGGUGCGGUCUUGGCUGACGGGCCGAGGUCUGGACUCUGCAGGCAGUGGGGAGCCCUCACGGUCUUGUUUGAGGAAGCAGUGCCGUUGCUGCUGUGCUUUGUAAGUGGGUUGGGGGCAGUGUAGGGGCGGGAUUAGGAGGUAAAUUUGGGGGUGGGGUCCUGGUCUGAAGGUCAGAGCCCCGUGGUGGACACUGAGAGGAGCAGGUGUGGUCAGAGAGCCAGGGGGGAGCUCCUUUAGAUUUGGCAUCUGUUGGGUGGGCCGGGAGAGGGUGGUGGAGGUGUGGCUGGGAGGCCCCCAGGUGGGGAGGCCCUGACAGCGUGGGAUGGUGAAUUACUCAGGGUUACACAGACCCUCAGGGACUGAACUGAGCUUUGGCUACUGAACUCAGUGCCCAGCUGACCCCUGACCAUCAGGGUCAGGUGUCCCCAGCCU
rnacentral:lncRNA from 1 species